rnacentral:lncRNA from 1 species
AAUUGUGUCUGUUUUUGAUGAUUUUCAUUGACAUGGUUCAUUUGCCCAAUUGAGCUCAAAUUUGACAUGGUAGACCUUGAUGGACCCCUGUUUAGGUGUAAUUAAUUUGAGAAUUUUUUGGAUGUGUUUUUGGCAUGGCUUUGAAUGCAAUACUUCUGUUUGUAUAUUUGAUGCCUCCAUUUGACUUAAUGUGAAUUGUUUUGGGCAUAAUAUGAACAUGAUGGAUGAUAUAAACAUGAGACCAAUGAUGUUUGCUCUUGUUUGAUGAUAAUUUGAUGUUGGAUGGUGGAUGCCUUGCUGUUUUAAAAUUUUCUUGCUUUUGGACCCUAGGCUUGCCUAGUGGUCUAGUUACUAAUAUUUGCUUGAUUUUUCAGGAUCAAAAGCAUCAUGUACAUGGAGAAUG